UUGAAACACUGGUUCUCAUAAGAUCACUGAAUUUAAGCAACAUUGAUCCUGGUCAGUACUGAGAUGGGUGACCACUUGAGGAUACCAGGUAUUGUAAG